AAGCGCUGGAAACGGCGUCUAAUACUGGAUAUGUGCCAUGGCCGCAUGGUCUGUGGUUGGAAAGAUUUUUCGGUUGGGGAUGGGCUCGCGGCCUAUCAGCUUGUUGGUGAGGUAAUGGCUCACCAAGGCGUCGACGGGUAGCCGGCCUGAGAGGGUGACCGGCCACACUGGGACUGAGACACGGCCCAGACUCCUACGGGAGGCAGCAGUGGGGAAUAUUGCACAAUGGGCGGAAGCCUGAUGCAGCAACGCCGCGUGAGGGAUGACGGCCUUCGGGUUGUAAACCUCUUUUAGCAGGGAAGAAGCGAGAGUGACGGUACCUGCAGAAAAAGCACCGGCUAACUACGUGCCAGCAGCCGCGGUAAUACGUAGGGUGCAAGCGUUAUCCGGAAUUAUUGGGCGUAAAGAGCUCGUAGGCGGUCUGUCGCGUCUGCUGUGAAAUCCCGAGGCUCAACCUCGGGCUUGCAGUGGGUACGGGCAGACUAGAGUGCGGUAGGGGAGAUUGGAAUUCCUGGUGUAGCGGUGGAAUGCGCAGAUAUCAGGAGGAACACCGAUGGCGAAGGCAGAUCUCUGGGCCGUAACUGACGCUGAGGAGCGAAAGGGUGGGGAGCAAACAGGCUUAGAUACCCUGGUAGUCCACCCCGUAAACGUUGGGAACUAGUUGUGGGGUCCUUUCCACGGAUUCCGUGACGCAGCUAACGCAUUAAGUUCCCCGCCUGGGGAGUACGGCCGCAAGGCUAAAACUCAAAGGAAUUGACGGGGACCCGCACAAGCGGCGGAGCAUGCGGAUUAAUUCGAUGCAACGCGAAGAACCUUACCAAGGCUUGACAUACGCGAGAACGCCCUAGAAAUAGGGAACUCUUUGGACACUCGUGAACAGGUGGUGCAUGGUUGUCGUCAGCU
rnacentral:rRNA from 1 species